rnacentral:rRNA from 1 species
UACAGAGACUGCAAGCGUUAUUCGGAUUCACUGGGCGUAAAGGGUGCGCAGGCGGCCGAGUGUGUUAGAUGUGAAAUCCCGGGGCUCAACCCCGGAACUGCGUCUAAAACUACUUGGCUAGAGUAUUGGAGAGGGUAUCGGAAUUCACGGGUGUAGCAGUGAAAUGCGUAGAUAUCGUGAGGAACACCAGAGGCGAAGGCGGAUACCUGGACAAUUACUGACGCUCAGGCACGAAAGCGUGGGGAGCAAAAGGG